UUGGUAAUCCUCUAUUAUAGGCCUGUUUAUUUGUACCGCUAAAGAACGCUUCUUGCUUAUUCCUCACAGGUCAGCGUGGUGGAUUUUAUGGUGGGAUUUCUACAGCUGGGAGAGAACUAUCUGUGAAUUUCCAGAGGACUUCAACAAUGUGAAGAAGUGUCCGAGCUGAGGCCAUCAUAGUGGUCCCAGCUGCCUGCAAGAUCUACGAAUUGAUGGAGGUGACCUAGGAGCAGCUUACCUUUGGCUGCAGCUGCCUGUUUCAUCACUUGCAAGUAUUUGAUUUUGAAAACGUUUAACUUUCAAUUAUUUCACCAUGAGUUCAUGCCAAAAGGCCGAAU
rnacentral:lncRNA from 1 species